GACGGAGGGAGCGAGCGUUGUUCGGAAUUACUGGGCGUAAAGGGCGCGUAGGUUGUUAGACAAGUCAGAAGUGAAAUCCCAGGGCUUAACCCUGGAACUGCUUUUGAAACUGUCUUUCUUGAGUUUGGUAGGGGGUGAUGGAAUUCCUAGUGUAGCGGUGAAAUGCUUAGAUAUUAGGAGGAACACCGAUGGCGAAAGCGAUCACCUGGGCCAUAACUGACACUGAGGCGCGAAAGCAUGGGGAGCAAACAGG
rnacentral:rRNA from 1 species